UACGGAGGGUGCAAGCGUUGUCCGGAUUUAUUGGGUUUAAAGGGUGCGUAGGUGGUCUUCUAAGUCUGGUUUGAAAGCAGGCGGCUUAACCGUCUGAUGUGGCUGGAAACUGGGGGACUUGAAUGGGUUGGCGGUAGCCGGAACGGGUCAUGUAGCGGUGAAAUGCAUAGAUAUGACCCAGAACCCCGAUUGCGAAGGCAGGCUACUACGACCGCUAUUGACAC
rnacentral:rRNA from 1 species